GUGAGGAAUUUUCCGCAAUGGGCGAAAGCCUGACGGAGCAAUGCCGCGUGAAGGAUGAAGGCCUAUGGGUUGUAAACUUCUUUUCUUAGAGAAGAAUAUUGACGGUAUCUGAGGAAUAAGCAUCGGCUAACUCUGUGCCAGCAGCCGCGGUAAGACAGAGGAUGCAAGCGUUAUCCGGAAUGAUUGGGCGUAAAGCGUCUGUAGGUGGCUUCAAAAGUCUCCUGUCAAAGAUCAUGGCUUAACCCUGGGCCGAAAGGAGAAACUCAGAGGCUAGAGUUUGGUAGGGGCAGAGGGAAUUCCCGGUGGAGCGGUGAAAUGCGUAGGGAUCGGGAGGAACACCAAAGGCGAAAGCACUCUGCUGGGCCACAACUGACACUGAGAGACGAAAGCGAGGGGAGCAAAAGGGAUUAGAAACCCGAGUAGUCC
rnacentral:rRNA from 1 species